rnacentral:rRNA from 1 species
CAGGACGAACGCUGGCGGCGUGCCUAAUACAUGCAAGUCGAACGCUUCUUUUUCCACCGGAGCUUGCUCCACCGGAAAAAGAGGAGUGGCGAACGGGUGAGUAACACGUGGGUAACCUGCCCAUCAGAAGGGGAUAACACUUGGAAACAGGUGCUAAUACCGUAUAACAAUCGAAACCGCAUGGUUUUGAUUUGAAAGGCGCUUUCGGGUGUCGCUGAUGGAUGGACCCGCGGUGCAUUAGCUAGUUGGUGAGGUAACGGCUCACCAAGGCGACGAUGCAUAGCCGACCUGAGAGGGUGAUCGGCCACAUUGGGACUGAGACACGGCCCAAACUCCUACGGGAGGCAGCAGUAGGGAAUCUUCGGCAAUGGACGAAAGUCUGACCGAGCAACGCCGCGUGAGUGAAGAAGGUUUUCGGAUCGUAAAACUCUGUUGUUAGAGAAGAACAAGGAUGAGAGUAACUGUUCAUCCCUUGACGGUAUCUAACCAGAAAGCCACGGCUAACUACGUGCCAGCAGCCGCGGUAAUACGUAGGUGGCAAGCGUUGUCCGGAUUUAUUGGGCGUAAAGCGAGCGCAGGCGGUUUCUUAAGUCUGAUGUGAAAGCCCCCGGCUCAACCGGGGAGGGUCAUUGGAAACUGGGAGACUUGAGUGCAGAAGAGGAGAGUGGAAUUCCAUGUGUAGCGGUGAAAUGCGUAGAUAUAUGGAGGAACACCAGUGGCGAAGGCGGCUCUCUGGUCUGUAACUGACGCUGAGGCUCGAAAGCGUGGGGAGCAAACAGGAUUAGAUACCCUGGUAGUCCACGCCGUAAACGAUGAGUGCUAAGUGUUGGAGGGUUUCCGCCCUUCAGUGC